CGAGGACGAACGCUGGCGGUGUGCUUAACACAUGCAAGUGGUGCGACGAACCAGAGCUUGCUCUGGGGCAAAGCCGCGAACGGGUGAGUAACACGUGGGUAAUCUACCCCGAUGACCGGGACAACCCGAGGAAACUCGGGCUAAUACCGGAUGUGGUACGGAGACAUAAGUCUCUUUACUAAAGGUAGCUUCGGCUUCCGCAUUGGGAGGGGCCCGCGGCCCAUUAGCUAGUUGGUGGGGUCAAGGCCUACCAAGGCAACGAUGGGUAGCUGGUCUGAGAGGACGAUCAGCCACACUGGGACUGAGACACGGCCCAGACUCCUACGGGAGGCAGCAGUGGGGAAUCUUGCGCAAUGCGCGAAAGCGUGACGCAGCAACACCGCGUGAGGGAAGACGGCCUUAGGGUUGUAAACCUCUUUCAGAUGGGACGAAGGUGAUGCGGUGAAUAGCCGAUGUCAUUGACGGUACCGUCAGAAGAAGCUCCGGCUAACUACGUG
rnacentral:rRNA from 1 species